GUUCUGGGUCUGGGACAGGUUGAAUGUUGAUGGUCUGCUCUCCCAGGGAGAGGGCCCAGUGAUGCACGAGCUCAUGCCUCAGAGUCUUACUUUUAAGAAGAUGGGAUAUGGUCUCUGGAGCUGGGGGCAGAAUCAUCCCAUUCCACCCCAUGGAAGAUCUUGAAGAACAAAAGCAAAGUGUCAGCAAUGUGGAAGAACCUGUUCCACUGAAAGCAAUGAGGUGAUGGAUUUGUGAAGAGCCUGUAUCAGAAAUGGACAAACUUCUAAUAACCUGGACUGAAAACCAGAGACCAUGAUGACCACAGUAGAUCUGAGAA